rnacentral:rRNA from 1 species
UGGGGAAUAUUGGACAAUGGGCGAAAGCCUGAUCCAGCCAUGCCGCGUGGAUGAUGAAGGCCUUAGGGUUGUAAAGUCCUUUCGGCGGGGAAGAUAAUGACGGUACCCGCAGAAGAAGCCCCGGCUAACUUCGUGCCAGCAGCCGCGGUAAUACGAAGGGGGCUAGCGUUGCUCGGAAUCACUGGGCGUAAAGCGCGCGUAGGCGGCUUCUUAAGUCAGGGGUGAAAUCCUGGAGCUCAACUCCAGAACUGCCUCUGAUACUGAGGAGCUUGAGUCCGGGAGAGGUGAGUGGAACUCCGAGUGUAGAGGUGAAAUUCGUAGAUAUUCGGAAGAACACCAGUGGCGAAGGCGGCUCACUGGCCCGGUACUGACGCUGAGGUGCGAAAGCGUGGGGAGCAAACAGGAUUAGAUACCCCCGUAGUCCCUGAGCGGGCUGGCAAGGCGCAU